rnacentral:rRNA from 1 species
GACGAACGCUGGCGGCGUGCUUAACACAUGCAAGUCGAACGGAAAGGCCCUGCUCUUGUGGGGUUCUCGAUUGGCGAACGGGUGAGUAACACGUGAGUAACCUGCCCUUGACUGUGGGAUAACUCUAGGAAACUGGGGCUCAUACCGGAUAUGAUCUCCUGCUGCAUGGUGGGGGUUGGAAAGUGUCGGCUGUUGGGGAUGGACUCGCUGCUUAUCAGCUUGUUUGUGGGGUAGUGGCUUACCAAGGCUUUGACGGAUAGCCGGCCUGGGAGGGUGACCGGGCACAUUGGGCCUGAGAUACGGACCAGACUCCUACGGGACGCAGCAGUGGGAAAUAUUGCGCAAUGGGGGGAAGCCUGAUGUGGCGACGCUGCGUGCGGAAUGCCGGCCUUUGGGUUGUAAACCGCUUUCGACUGUGACGAAGCGUGAGUGACGGUAAUGGGUAAAGAAGCACCGGCUAACUACGUG